GACAGAGGCCUCGAGCGUUAGGCGGAAUCACUGGGCUUAAAGCGUGUGUAGGCGGACUUCUAAGUACCUUGUGAAAUCCCACGGCUCACCCGUGGAACUGCUGGGUAUACUGGUCGUCUUGAGCCUUCUAGGGGCUACCGGAACAAAUGGUGGAGCGGUGAAAUGCGUAGAUAUCAUUUGGAACGCCAAUGGUGAAAACAGGUAGCUGGGGAAGUGCUGACGCUGAGACACGAAAGCCAGGGGAGCGAACGGG
rnacentral:rRNA from 1 species